GAAGUCUACAUCCGUGACCCAAUCGCCAUGGUUUUUUCUCAAACCACCACCACAACGCCUCUCCGCCUCCGUCUCCAGCCAAUCCUUGGAUGGUUUCGCUGCUGGUGAGCCGCCGCGGAUGACCAGUUGGUUCUGCCGCGGCGAGUUGCCGCCUAGGCCGCCUGUUCCGAGUCUCCAUCUCCGCCGCAGGCCGCUGCUGAUUCGCUUCUUGAGCCGGCCCUGAGUCGCUUCGCCGGGUUUGCCCGCAUCCUUUUCCGCGCAGAGGUUUCCCUACAACGGCGAUCCAUGGUGACAGAACACAGGAGGUAAGAUUGGGAAGUUUGCUACUUGGUGCUGCUCAUCACAAUCAACCAAGACAUGAUGGCUGCCAUCAGGAGGGCUGACAGCAAGAACCUAAAUAACAACCUUGAUAGUUUGUAUGUUUUGCUGAUGUAAAAUGAAUUGUACUCAUUCCUAAGCGUGAUGUGUGAUAUAUAUUGUCGAUCUAUAUUGUAAGUUGUCAUUUUGUAGAGGAUUUUGUAAACUGCUAUAUUGUGGAUACAUACAAAAGGCGGUUGCAUA